UUAGCAUAACUUCCAAUCUCACCAACCAACCAAGCUGUGCACCCAAAAGGACCGUUAAGAUUUCCUCACCCCUCCCCUUCCGCUCUUCUCAACUCCACAAACACUCCAAACCAAAGCAAGCACCUACACUUCCCCAGCGGCCAGUACUAUCACUGACUCGCCUCCACUAUCCAACAAUCUCCACCGUUAAAACUUCAUCAAUGAAUCUCCCCCACUACGCUCCUCCAUUCCCCACCGUCCGAUUCAUCCACACUCAUCAUCAUCGUUCCAGAUCCACUGCCACUACUACCUCUCCACUCAGUCGCGGACGACUCUCUACUUUUGGUGAAUUUUGCAGGGCGAGUCUGCCAUUUCCGAUUCGGGAAGCGAAGUAUUACAGAGAGCUCGAAGCUGCCGUGGACGUAGUUGAGAGAGCUUGUCAUCUUUGUGUCGACGUGAAAUCAUCUUUGUUUUCGAGUGAUGGACGGAUUGUUGAAAAGAAUGAUCAGACUCCAGUCACGGUUGCAGAUUUUGGGGUGCAGGCUCUGGUCAGUUUGGAAUUGGGCAAACUGUUCCCUUCUAUUCCCUUGGUGGCUGAAGAGGACUCUGCCUUUGUACGUUCAAAUAAUCUAGAAGAUCCUGUGGUAAAGGCAGUAACUCGUCAAGCAAGUGCUGAAGAUAAGCCAUGGACACAUGAUGAUGUGCUCAAGGCAAUUGACAGAGGAGGGAAGGAAGCUUUUACCUUUGGGACCAAGCCAGCCACAUAUUGGGUACUUGAUCCCAUAGAUGGCACACGAGGAUUUCUAAAAGGAAGUGAGGCCUUAUAUGUGGUAGGUUUGGCUCUUGUAGUUGAAGGAGAGAUUGUACUAGGUGUUAUGGGUUGCCCUAACUGGCAGUAUGAUUCUUCCAAUGAAUCUACAACUGAGGUCCAGGAAAAUAGAAAAAACUUAGCUGGGUCAGGUAUCAUAAUGAUUGCUCAUAUUGGUUGUGGAGUAUGGACAAAGAGGUUAUCAAAUAUGCUGUAUGCCACAACCAAAGUGAUUAAUGGUUGGACCAGAUGCUUUGUAGAUGGAUGUUGCUUAAUACAUGAGGCACGCUUUUGUGCUCCAGAUAGUCAAUCAUCGGACUCAUUUCCCCUGUCAACAACAUUCAGCACCACAACAAUUGCAGACAGUGCUGGGAAUAAUCAAACUCUUCUUUUGCCCACAUGUUGUGGAAGGUUUAUAUUUGUUUCAUUAAUAGUAAAACUAUAUCUUCCUACUUACCGGCUUCUACUUGAAAUCCUGAUUGCUAAUUUGUUGCGAGAAGGUGCUAACUCAUUGCCAGAGUUCUUCUAUCUGCCAACAUCAACCAAUGCAUAGAUCCAAAACGAAACAUCUACUGUACAUACACAUGCAUGUAUUGGACUUAAUUUGCUGCCUUUGUUUAUAGGAGGAUUAUUUCUUGUGUUUACAUAACCAAAGUUUGGUUUUGCAGUUUCAAGUUACCUAUGUAGAAUUUGGAUUAGAGGUUGAUGCAGGAAGUGCAAGAAAAAUCUUAUUUUUAUUUAGUUUUAUUUUAUUUUCUGAGUCAACUGUAUUUUUUAUUUUAGGUCCUAGUAUUUAAUUGGCAUUUUUAUUUAACAUCAAGGGUAUUUAAUAACAUAAGCCAAUUAGAGUUUUCCUAUGUCAGUUAGAAUUAGGAUUUAGCACUCCCAUAUGAGCAAAGUAUUGUACUCCUAUGAAAGGGGGAAUAUUCUGACAAAUAAAAUCUCUAUUGAAAUUGUUCUCCGUGGACUGCUGUCAACUGCAGUCAACCUUAGGUGCUGACUCUUAGAGGUUUCUAAUGCUUGGUGUUGACUCCAAGCAAGCUUAGGUGCCAAUUUCUAGCUUAUGCAAGUAUUUAAUGGUGGCUUCAGGUAGGGCUGCUGUUUAUAUUCACCAAGCAAAAGUUCAAACAAGCAUUAAGAUUUGGGAUCAUGCUGUUGGCAUAAUAUGUGUGCUCGAAGCAGGGGGAAAGGUUACUGACUGGAAAGGGAGUCAAGUUGAUCUUGCUGCAGAUAAAGAUGGACGGAGGAUUAUAUAUCCUUCAAGUGGAAUCCUUGUGACUAAUGGCAACUUACACGAUCA